ensembl:lncRNA
AUGAUAUCGCAGGACUUUAAAGUUAUAUUCCCUGACCAGGCGGACCGCCUUUAUGAAUUCUGGGCUCCUGUCAUCACUGACCGGAUUUUACUCUUUGCAAAGAAAGAACCCAAGGCUUCAGAUGUUCUUCCAGAAAAUCUGGAAACACUGGCAAUAGGUGUUCGUGCAGAAAUUGCCUUUAAAACAUUUCCUGCCAUCCUGCCAUCUGCACCAUACCACACAAAUGGAAAAAUGGUGCGCCCAACAUACACAGAAAUUAAGCAGUCCUUCAUUGACAUUCAACCUGUUGGCACUAAUAUAGUGCAGUACUUGAACCACGAGACAAGCCAGAAUCCACAUGUCCUGGUGCUUGGUGACAAGGAAGACUCUUCCCAAGUUUUUAUUAUUUUCAACGGGGAGGCGAUGGAACAGGAGACACUACUACAAGCAGUCGAUCUGUGUUUCAAACUUUUCUUUGUAUAUGACAUCAACUACCCAAAGCCCUGUGCUCCCAUUUGGGAGUUUUUGGAGCACACAGUCUUUAAUAUUCCAGGUGGAGUUCCUUCUGCACACUGCCUCCUCCUAAAAAACUUUGUAUUUAGUAAUCAGUAAAAAAAAAAAAUUAUUUUACUGAUCAUCAGUAGGCCCAGCAGCUAGCAGAUUAUUAUUAUUAUUAUUACUUGUGUUUAUGAUUAUUUUUUGUUUUACUGUUAUGUUUAUAUGUUAUGUUUUUGUGAACUGUAUGUGCACAUUUGUGUGUUUUGAUAUGAAUAUGAAUUGACACACAUUUGUACAUCUUGAAAAUGUCAGUUUUUUACACAUUCGUGUACAUUUAAAUAAAAUAUUUCAAAAUAUAUUUGUUAUAUAU